ACUGAACGCUGGCGGCAGGCCUAACACCUGCAAGUCGAGCGAGCGGCGGACGGGUGAGUAAUGACUAGGAAUCUGCCUGGUAGUGGGGGAUAACGUCCGGAAAAGGGCGAUAAUACCGCAUACCAUCAGAUAUGCACAGAUGGGAUUAGCUUGUUGGUGGGGUAACGGCUCACAACGGCGACGAUCCCUAGCUGGUCUGAGAGUGUGACCAGCCACACUGGAACUGAGACACGGUCCAGACUCCUACGUGAGGCAGCAGUGGGGAAUAUUGCACAAUGGGCGCAAGCCUGAUGCAGCCAUGCCGAGUGUAUGAAGAAGGCCUUCGGGUUGUAAAGUACUUUCAGCGGGGAGGCGUUACCCGCAGAAGAAGCACCGGCUAACUCCGUGCCAGCCGCCGCGGUAAUUC
rnacentral:rRNA from 1 species